ensembl:lincRNA
UCCCCCCCCCCGGUUGCCCCGCCUUCUCAUCUCCGCACACGGCAACGUGCGCUUGUUCGGGAGCUGUCCGAAUGGUUCCCCGUCCUCGACCCAACGCCAAUCCAGUACGAUCCGCGGAGAUCCCCCGCUCGAUGGACGAGCGUUCCACGCUGCUCCGGACACUUUUCCGUCUCGUUGACGGCUUCACCCGUCCGUAGUUGGUCGGUGUUCCUCCGGGCGGGGGAUGCGGACGUGCGCGCGUGGAAAGUGCAGGUACACGUCUUUGGCACUGAGUGUCUUGGAUAAAGCACACCGUCCGGCUUUGUCGGCAGGUACCCACGAAACGAUCGGUGCCGAUGCGCUCAUCGUCGGCGGAUUCUCGAACGUCGUCACUUCGUAGAAGGGAACUCGUGCGUACAAUUACAUCGGACUGUGUGUUUGGUCCCAGGGGGCUGCGGACGCACGACCGCAUCGGCAUCCUCCGUGUCCCUUUUCGUGUUGAGUCGGAGCGUUUUAAGGGUUCGUUACUUACUCCACCCACGGCUCCCCCCAUCCAUUUGGGCUCUCAGACCGUCGUGUGGACCAUUUGCUCACCCUGCGGCCAUCCUGGCUGCCGUCCACUGUCCGCACCCCCUUGGUGUUGCUAUCGCAGGAGUGUCAGCCAGUGGGACUUUGUGGGAAACCAAGACCCCAGGAUGUGCUAAUGGACCGCCUUGCACCGCAUGGAGAUGAGAAGAGAGGAAAAGCACUCUGAACGAUUCUCUUUCUCCUCGACCACCCUUCAUUCCUCCCAGAGCAUGUUCACCGUUAUGCUGCCACUCGGUGCCGUACUUUGCCUGCUCUUCUCUUCAGCCCGAACUCACGGUGUAUUGGCUGUGAACGUGGAUUUCGAUGGAAAGACAAACAUGCUUUCGAGUCAAUUUUUGACAAAUUUGUGGCAUUAUCAGCAUCUUAACAGGAUUUCAAAAUACAUGACCAUAAGAUGCCACCUAAAGGACUCGAGGCUCAAAAGUUGGGCCACGACGUGCGGCACUGGCUACCGGACUGAAACUGUAAACAGGGUGUGUGCAUUGGGGGUCACGUGGCCACUACCCCAUCCUUAUGAAAGUGUCACCGGGUCAUUGCACGUGUCAUCAUGUCUUCCAUCGAGACACUCACCGCCUCCGUGCUCAGACGGUCAAGUGGACCUUGGCGUCCGAUGUCCCUGGCAGGCUGGCUCUGACAUUACGCAUGGCUGGCCGAGGUUUUUCCAACCGCAGCACCGUGUGCCUACAUUGGUGCUCUCAUUUCACACAUUCUUCUCAUUUGGUCUUCACUGUGGGUAAGCCGUUAUUGAUGUUAUUGAUUAUUGUUUGAAGUGAUACCUUUAUUGUGCUUAACUUAUGGGUCAUUAUGACGAUUGGUAAAAUAUUUUGAACGCUGGGUUUGAAAGAAAACUUCAGCCAUUUUGUCAGUAAAUUGGAAGUGUUUUUAAAGCUUUGAUAUCAACUCCACAAAAGGUUUUCCUUUUAAAAAGAGCAUAAAUUUCAGUGCAAGUAAUGUAAAAAAGUCCAAGCAAUAAAGACGUGGAAAGACUGUAACAGAUUUAUCAGCUGAGUUUUUCCGAGUUUGUGGCUUUUUCUUUGGGGUUUUGGUUGAACCUCAAUGCAUCCAGGGAUCAUGCGUUCCGGUUGGCACAAGCACGCAAGAAACAAUGGAAGGUUUGAAAAGUUUGUCAAAGAGAGCAAGGUUGUUCAUCGGUGUGUGUUUGAGCAGCCACACUUUACUUGCAUAUUCUGUGUAAUUUCCCUGCAAGUGGUUUGAUGGUUAUUUAUUUAUGUUUUAAUAUAUUUAUUUAUCAAUCUCGUAUUUGGCCUCACGCUGCAAAACAGGAACACACCAGACUGCACUUGAAACAUGCACAGCCACUGAGCUUAGGGGAAGUGAUGUAAUUUCCCGCUGCACUCUGGGUAAUUACAUUUGACAUUUUUCUCUCCUCAGUCAGUGGGGCAUUUUUGAUCAGAAUUUCCUCCUCCCAAAGGGAUGCUCGCCUAUGGCUUGUUCAUCCCUGCUCUCUCUUUUUUUUUUUUUUUAACACUGAGCAUUAAGGCCUAAAUCACAUUUGGCACGGUGGCCGUAGGGUCUACAAAAUCUACAGCCACCAGCAAUUGUAGGGCGGUCGUAGUAUUUCCAC